GAUGAACGCUGGCGGCGUGCUUAACACAUGCAAGUCGAACGGUGAAGCCGGAGCUUGCUCUGCUGGAUCAGUGGCGAACGGGUGAGUAACACGUGAGCAAUCUGCCCCUGACUCUGGGAUAAGCGCUGGAAACGGCGUCUAAUACUGGAUACGAGCUGCUAAGGCAUUUUCAGCAGCUGGAAAGAACUUCGGUCAGGGAUGAGCUUGCGGCCGGUCAGCUUGUUGGUGGGGUAGCGGCUCACCAAGGCGUCGACGGGUAGCCGGCCUGAGAGGGUGACCGGCCACACAGGGACUGAGACACGGCCCAGACUCCUACGGGAGGCAGUAGUGGGGAAUAUUGCACAAUGGGCGAAAGCCGGAUGCAGCGACGCCGCGUGAGGGGCGACGGCCUUCGGGUUGUAAACCUCUUUUGGCAGGGAAGAAGCGGAAGUGACGGUACCUGGAGAAAAAGCGCCGGCUAACUACGUG
rnacentral:rRNA from 1 species